CACUCGGAUAUUUUGAGUUUAAUCUUUUUUGAAUCUUUUUGAAUCAUUCGGGAUCAUUUCGAAUCCCGCCAAAUCAAAUCAUAUUGAAAAGUGAGGAAACUUUUGCUUCAGUGUGCUAAGAGCACCUGUCAAAGCGACUAGAUUCGCGCGCGGACAAAGUUUACGAAACGUAAAAAAAAAACACGAACGGCAAUUUUGAGGGCAUUUCAAUUACCUAAAUGCAUGCAGGAGUGCUCCAAAUGGAAGUACUCCACGUCGGUCGGAUACUAUCUACGCCAGGGAAACGCACCGGAGGCUGAUUGGAAACUUCAAGGUUUGACCGGAAUAAAUGGUGUGAUUGGGUGUGGGGAUCAACUUUUUGGAGUCGUCGACCUCCACCUGCAGUUCUUGACUCCUGGGGAUCAUCCUUCACCGCCACACACCGUUCUUCUGCAUCUGCACAUCGCCGAAGAUCGUCCUUAGCAAGCGUCGCUCGAAAGCUCCAAAUGUUUGCAGGUCCUCCUCGUGCAUGGAAUUUGCCUCGAGUCGGUAUAGGACAACCGGUCUAAUAAGUAUUUUUGUUGAAGGAUGAAUCUAGGCACUUCUGUCAGCUAUGGCUAGCUAGCACCUGGAGCUGUUACUUCACCGGUAUCAUCUGUUAAAUGCUUUGUAUGUUUUUUUUUUGUUUUCGUGUAAUAUUAAUUAAAAAAAUGGUG